GUAAGGCCCUUUCGGGGUACACGAGCGGCGGACGGCUGAGUAACAUGAAUGAACGUACCCCAAAGUGAGGGAUAAGCACCAGAAAUGGUGUCUAAUACCGCAUGUGCUCUAAGGAGUAAAGCUCCGGCGCUUUGGGAACGGCCUGCGCAUGAUUAGCUAGAUGGUGAGGUAAUGGCUCACCAUGGCGACGAUCAUUAGCUGGUCUGAGAGGAUGAUCAGCCAGACUGGGACUGAGACACGGCCCAGACUCCUACGGGAGGCAGCAGUAGGGAAUUUUCCACAAUGGGCGAAAGCCUGAUGGAGCAACGCCGCGUGCAGGAUGAAUGCCUUCGGGUUGUAAACUGCUUUUAUAUGUGACGAAUAUGACGGUAGCAUAUGAAUAAGGAUCGGCUAACUCCGUGCCAGCAGCCGCGGUCAUACGGAGGAUCCAAGCGUUAUCCGGAAUUACUGGGCGUAAAGAGUUGCGUAGGCGGCAUAGUAAGCAGAUAGUGAAAGCGUGUGGCUCAACCAUACUCACAUUAUCUGAACUGCUAAGCUAGAGGACGAGAGAGGUCACUGGAAUUCCUAGUGUAGGAGUGAAAUCCGUAGAUAUUAGGAGGAACACCAAUGGCGUAUGCAGGUGACUGGCUCGUUCCUGACGCUCAGGCACGAAAGCGUGGGGAGCAAACGGGAUUAGAUACCCCG
rnacentral:rRNA from 1 species